AUUGAACGCUGGCGGCAGGCCUAACACAUGCAAGUCGAGCGAGCGGCGGACGGGUGAGUAAUGUAUGGGGACUGCCUGAUAGAGGGGGAUAACUACUGGAAACGUUGGCUAAUACCGCAUACUAUCGGAUAACCCAUAUGGGAUUAGCUAGUAGGUGGGGUAAAGGCUCACCUACGCGACUAUCCCUAGCUGGUCUGACAGGAUGAUCAGCCGCACUGGGAGUGAGACCCGGCACCGACUGAUCCGGUGGCAGCAGUGGGGAUAAUUGCACAAUGGGCGCAAGCCUGAUGCAGCGAUGCCGCGUGUAUGAAGAAGGACUUAGGGUUGUAAAGUACUUUCAGCCGGGAGGCGUUACCCACAGAAGAAGCACCGGCUAACUCCGUGCCAGCCGCCGCGGUAAUAC
rnacentral:rRNA from 1 species